UACAGAGGUCUCAAGCGUUGUUCGAUUCAUUGGGCGUAAAGGGUGCGUAGGUGGCGGGGUAAGUCAGGUGUGAAAUUUCGGAGCUUAACUCCGAACUGCAUUUGAUACUGCCUUGCUUGAGGACUGGAGAGGAGACUGGAAUUCACGGUGUAGCAGUGAAAUGCGUAGAUAUCGUAAGGAAGACCAGUGGCGAAGGCGGGAUCU
rnacentral:rRNA from 1 species